GACCGCUCCAGCAGCCUAGUGCUUAGAGCGGCCGCCACAGAUGCGGUAGGUGGCGGGUUCGAACCCCGGCUGAGUCA